CACAAAAUUCUCCACAAAUCAAGACAUCUAUAAAUGAAAUAUUAACCACAACUGAACAGGGGAUCAAGCAAUCUCUAAAAGAUCUAAAAUACAAAUAUCAACUGAUUCAAGUACAUGAGUGAAACAAUUUUCUGUUCCUACUUCCUAAAACUCAAGAUUACAUUGUAAAAACAAAUUAUCUAGCAUGACAAAACAACACGUUUUCCAGUUACAAUUGGAUUUCAAAAAUCAGGACCCACUUUCUGCAACUAAUUUCACUUACAUACAUAUUGCUUUCAUGAAGUUAACUUCUCAAUACAUGAUAAACAGAAUAAAACAAAAUAUUAGAAGUAGCACAAUCAAGACAUUCAAGAAACUAAAACGCACCUGACUUUAGUUUCUCAUC
rnacentral:misc_RNA from 1 species